ensembl:misc_RNA 7SK 7SK RNA
ACUGGGCUUCCGUUAAGUGUAUAUAAGUAGCUGCGUUUCUCUGCUAGAACCUCCAAACAAGCUCUCAAGGCCCAUUUGUAGAAGGGACCCUAUUACCAAAGA